rnacentral:lncRNA from 1 species
UUUGCUUCUCAUCAUUUAUGUCACGACUGAAACAUGGAUCAGACUUUUCGCGGAUGCGCAUGCGCACACGCCACACCGGAAGAGCCCUGGUGAAGGUUAGCUCAGAGCUAAAGCUAACAAUAACAACAACAACAGUUUGUGAAAUGUCUUCGGGCCAAACUUGGCUCAGAGCGGGUGUCCAGACGUCCUCGCUGAGUCCUGGCCCUGAUCUGAAGCAGGAAAUCCCAGAGACUCCGCAGAUUAAAGAGGAGCCAGAGGAACAGAGCGUCAAACAGGAGGAAGAGCAGCUGCCAGAUCCUGUGCCUGAGCACCGAGAGGAAACGCAGGGAGAGGACGUCAGCUCAGAGACUGAAGGACACACUGAGAACUCGUCUGACACUGACAACGAUGUCGGCACACAUCAGAAGCAGAGGGGAAGAAGGAGGAGUGCCCUUUUUGUCAAAAGACGUUUGCCAGGAAACGUAAUUUACUGAGACACAUUAGAAUUCACACAGGAGAGAGACCUUACAGUUGUUCGGUUCGUGAGAACACAUUCGCCCAAAAGUAAGCGCUGGAUUCCCUUAUGAGAACACAUACGGGUGAAAACCAUUCAGCUGCUCGAUCUGCAAGACGACGUUUGCCCAAAAGGCGACUCUAAACGCACACAUCCGACUGCACACGGGGGAGAGGCCGUACAGCUGCUCCAUCUGUGAGAAAGCCUUUACCCAGCAGAUGUCCCUCAAACGACACAUGAGAACCCACUCGUGUGUCGUGAGCGCCGCCGUCCACAACGCAGACGUGUCGGGAAGCAAGCACCAGUGCCCGGUUUGUUAAAGAGAUUCUGGAGCAGACAGGAUUUACAGAGACACACGGCCGUGCACACAGGAGAGAAACCAUACGGCUGCUCGCUCUGUAACAAAGCGUUUGUCCACACGUCUAACCUCGGCGCUCACAUGAGAACAGACGGUUCGAGUCCACGAUGCUGUUCGCUCUUCGACAGGACGACAGCGGAGUCUGAGGAGGAACUGGAGGAGAACCAGAGGACGCAGCAGCUCCUGGACUUCGCUCUGAGCCCCAUGGACCUGCAGCACAGUGGGUGAGUCAUGUUUGUAUUCAUGGAUAUAAAGACUGCACAUCUUCCUCACACGCUUUUCAUCCAGCUUUAUUUGUCUUCCAUUGUGUCCCGCAGCUGUUUUGAUCCCCUCGCUGAGUCCUGUCCCGGGUCCCAAACCAGGAAAUCCAGAGACUCCACAGAUUAAAGAGGAGCCAGAGCAGGAGGAAGAGCAGCUGCAUACGUCCCUUAAUGUUUAUCGUUCUAAGGCUGUUGGUUUGGAACAAAGAAUGUUUGCUCUACACCCGUGGUUCCCAAGUGGGGGUCGCAAGAUGAUUUUAGCCAAUAUUUCUGACAUUUCUAACAUUGAAUUUGAUGUAUUUUUGAUGUGAAAUGAAGCUAAAUCAAAAUACAGUCUAACCUAUUAAACCAGAUUUUAAAUGUUCUGCACCUGAAAUUAAUAUAAAUGCUAAUAACACUUUAUAGAGUUGUUGGAUGAGUGAUUUUGGGGGUCGCAGCCUGGAAAGUUUGGGAACCCCUGAUCUACAGUACCAAUCAUCUGUUUUACAAUUUCACUGAAUAAACUUUCCUCCAUACAUUUUUACAACUUAAAAAAGCUCCUACAUGGAGUCUCGUUUUACAGAAACAUGAAACUGAACUGACUGAAAAGAAGUCUCAUAUCUCAACAAAAUAACCCCAUGCAUUUAAACUCUGCAUCGCUUUGUUCCAUUUUAUCCUAAAAACUUCAAAAUGGAAAGAUUGAAUGUUCUUACAAAUGUCUUAUAUUUAUGUCAAGUAAUAUUCAGUAAAGGUUUUUAAGUGUCGCUUUUUUUAACUGCUUGUGCUCACCUUGAAUUAUCCUUAAAUUUAUUUGUUUAUUUUUAUACCUGAUCAUUUCUUUGCUUAUCAGUAGUGGUUCUCUGUAAU